UAAACCUUUAAAAGUUGAUAGAUAAGUAAACAGAGUAUUAAUUAGAUGUCAAACUAUUAUGAAGAAUAAAUGGUAAAUAAUUUGUCUAUUUAAAUAUUAAUCGAAGCGCUUGUAUUUUUCUAUUCAACAAAAGUUUGCCUAGUUCUUUGUUUGCUCAGCUGCUAUUGAACUUGAUCUACUUCAAUGUUUAUGUACUAUUUUUUUAGCUGUACAUACCUAUAAGCCUCGAGUCACUUUUAGAUGUAGCACUAAUUAAAUAUAAUAAUCUCUUCCCCUUCCGCAGGUGUGACUUCUCUACAAACGUUUAAACGGACCUCAAUUUUUUCUGGCAAUGCACUGCGGAAAGUCGAGUGAAAUCAACAAGAGCAGCGGCCGACAUUGAGGUUUUAUUUAUACGGCUAUAUGUACAUACAUAUGAACCUGGGGAUUCGGCCAAAAUGCCACAUGAACUUGGCAACAGGUCCGCUCAAUUUAUGACAGGCCUUUUCCUCGUGGGAGUGAUAAGGGGCAUUCGUGGUGCGAAACUAUACUAAUCUCAGAGCAAACCAAAAACGAAUAAAAAGGGAAAAACGCCAGGGAUGUGAUAACCUUAUCAGGGAAUGAUACACACGACCAGCUGGGAUGCUCGACUAUCAGAUGACCUGUACUUGUUCCAGAUGUUACAAAAUACGUAUUGUUUCUUAUCACAUCAUGCGGGAACUCUUAUAGCAUAUUCCUUUAGUCUCGGCAUUUGUACAGGGUAUAGACAAAAAGAGUACGCGAUUAUUUUUGUUAUACAACAGCAUAGCGACAGAUUGGGACACAUACUCGCAGUACAUGUGGUGAGUAUCGCAACGGCACUGGCUUGGAAAAAACUGGUUCUACUCCGGCAAAAGCUGAUUCCAUCUGGAGGCAAAAUGAAACUUGGACCGCUUUUCCGAGCACUUUGCAAGUGGUUCAGUGGAGCAAACUGACUAUGUCCUGCAUCCCAAACUCACCAUUUUGCAGCCUGCACUACGGAGCACUACCACACAUGGUUAAAUGGCGAUCGAUGAGUAACCAAAGUGUCCGCCGAGUUUUCACGCGAACCGAGGUGGCGUCUAAUGCGGAUUGACAGGGCGGUUCAAAUGCUCUGGCGAGCUGAAAAGAACUAAACGCGAUGGUACGUGCCUUGCGACAUUUAUACCAACGCUCUCAGCGCCCGGCAGCUGAAGCUGAUAAGGAUAAUGCAAAAGAGACCUCUCUGUUUGUCUGGCCGACUGAGGCAGCCACACCAUCGUUACACCAUCGGUACGGUACACCAACACCAUUGCACCAUCGGCCGGCGAGAGACCCCUCUCGCUCUCUUGGAUUCUUGCUCUCCACCUCAUUAUCGUAAUAAGUUCAAUGGCUCACGCUCUCCGGGUUUGUAACAGUAGUGUGAAUUCGGUUUCCAUUCUAAUGGGCACACCCUGCGUAUGAGUGAUGCAAAGUAUUUAAGCGGUUAAUAGCUUCUAGAUUUGAAGGUUGCUGAUAGUUUUAUGUGGUUUAUAAAAUUUUCGACGUAUUUAAGCUACUUCUUACACAUAUUUCAUUCAAAAUGUAUCCAUAAAUACCUGAUUUGUGUUUUUGUAAAGGAAGAACUAGAGCCUUUGGAUUAUCACUAUGUUGGAUAAUGGAUAACGGUGGAUAACGUACUCAGAACUGAACUGAUGUAUAGGGAUAUGUUUGGGUUUAUAUAGGCGGAUUGGGAUAGCUUAAGAACGAAGUUUAAGAGAAUAAAGAUAUCAACGUCUAUUCUCCCGGAA